GUUUCUUAUUUUAUAUGUAAUGGCUGAGAAAGGCCUUUCUGAAGUAAUGCCAUUGAGUAAAAGAUCCCAGCACACUGAGAAAGAAGAUCCAGACAGCCAGGAACUUUGGAAGCUUAUGUCAUAAAAGUCCCGAGAACGCACAAGUCCCGGACCACACCUCCCGCCAUCGGUGGACAGAUUUCAUGUCCAACCCUCACAUACUCCAGAUUCCAGUGAACUUGCUCAUACUGAUUGCUAUGUUCUCUUCCCUAUCAGGUCCCAGAGAAAUCAUCCAUGUAGAAGAUCAGAGCAAGAGCUGACACUGCAAUGUGCCUCUCAGUUAAACCUCAGCCAAGGAUCCCAGCACAGAUCACAGAGACCCAACAGAAAUCAAGACAGCAGCAGGACUGGAAGAUCUCUACAACUCACAGAGCAAAACCAGAAAAAACGGAUACUGCUCAAUACCCUCCAGUUCUCCCCAUUCUAUGCUGAGCAAACAGAUUAAUGAUUAAUGAAAACCCAGAUCUUCCACUGACCUUGGAUGUAUGUACCAGGACUGUCUUAGAAAGCUGAUAAGUAAGUACCCUGUUUUCUUUGAUGUUCCAAGCUGCCGUGUUCAGGAAGCAGGAAUGUAGGAGAUAAAGAAAUAAUGAGUGAGAGUUACCUGAAGGCCUUUUGGUCUCCUGCAAGCCUCAAGUGAAGAAUUUCUGCCGUGUUACCAACAAGAAUGCAUUGUUAGCAAGGGUCAACAGCUUGCUCUGACAGGCUACCCCUCUGGUGCUGCUCUCUCUGGCCUGCAUUAUGGAGGGGUGGUUUUCAGCAUCUUAGCUAUUGCUGGAAGGAAGGCCUUUGAGGAUCAGUGUGCUGGGUGGGUGUAGUCUUGUAAAAGUUCUAUUUUGUUGGUGUUCCCAUUGAGUAUGCUAAAAGGUAAAACAAAAACAAAACAAAAAAUGACAAAUGAAAACGAUGGAACCAUUAGAAGAGAAUGAACUCCAAAGCAUGCUAGGCUAACCCCAGGCUUUGCUGUUCUUGCUGCUAAUGUGAUAACUAAAGUUCUAGUAAAUUUCCUAUUCCUGGGAGCUUUAUUAACUCCCUCUUUAACACUCAUCAUAUAGGGAGGAGCAGACUCCUGCACAACCUUCAAUUCUUACACAGGCUCUUUAGCUGACUGCCUGGAGCACAGUGUAGAAGUAGUCCACAGAGAAGACCGAAGCUUAACCAUUUUAUACAUUUUGGACAAAGAAGCAAAAAUUUGUGCAAGCAUUAGACAAGUUAUAUUUGUGCCACAAGAUACUUAAAUUUGUGUGGGAAUGACACGAUAAACAAAUAUCUAGUCUUAGAUAAUCAAUUCUAUGUUGUUACUAAUGGUUCUGCAGGAUGGGAGCAGCUGGACAAACUAGAGGAGGCUUUAGGUUACUUCACUGUCGCGGGUGUCUGGUGUUGGGUGCUAAUUUCUAACCUUGGGAAGGACAUCGCCUGGAAAGACUCAUUAUGGCUCACAACAUUCAGGAAAUCACGGAGCAUUUACCUUUUUCUCAAGUUACACCUCUCCAGUUGAUUUCAGUUUGAAAUAAUCAAUAUACUAAUUUGGCAUGUUUUGAGACGGUACACCUUUAACUCUUUCAACAGUUUAAAGCAGCGGGCGGCAAUCUAGAGAGGAUUUUGCUAGCAGGGUGCUCGAGCAAUCUCAGAUUGCACAUCUAAGAUGAAAACUCUAAGAGGAGUCUCUGUGCUUUCUGUGUGGUGUUGUGUAAUUAAAAACCAUUCUACGAGUGAGGUUAAUAACUUAAAAGGACCAGUACUGAAGUGAUGCACAAGUUACCCACAUGCUACCCAGCACCCUGAAAUUUUAUCAACUGUGAAUUCUUUAAUUUCAUCUGGAUAGUCAUGCUGCUCUUGAAAUCAAAUUUCCUAGGGAAAACUGAUUGCAAACUCUUGUGCCGUUUAAAUAUAGCCGGUCUUCAGCAGUGAGUGCUGGCUGAAGGCAUACAUGAGAUGGAAGGGCCAUUCUCAUGUGGAACAAGAAGGAAGGAGAUGCUGGAGCUAUGAGAGCAAAGUGAAGAGACAGAAGCUGGCCAGGCACCCACAAUUCCUGUAAGAUUUGCAAAAUCUGACAGGAUGAAAAGCGACAUGGAAAUAUUAGUAUUCUCAAUACAAAGCAUGCAGAAAUGCUAACCUUGGGAAGCUAGGAGACAAUUUCCCCUGGAAAUGCUUUAAGACAUUAGUGAAAAAGAACUUAAUAAAGUUCUUGAUUUGUUUAUUUGUUUGUUUGUU
rnacentral:lncRNA from 1 species